GAUGAACGCUGGCGGCGUGCCUAAUACAUGCAAGUCGAGCGAAGGGGGGACGGGUGAGUAACACUUGGUAAACCUCCUUUACGUACGCGAUAACUUCGGGAAACCGGUGCUAAACCUGCUAUUUAUAGAUGGAUCCGAGCUGCACUAGCUAGUUGGUCAGUUAACGGCUUACCAAGGCAACGACUCAUAGCCGACCUGAGAGGGUGAUCGGCCACACUGGAACUGAGACACGGUCCAGACUCCUACGGGAGGCAGCAGUAGGGAAUCUUCCGCAAUGGGCGAAAGCCUGACGGAGCAACGCCGCGUGAGUGAUGAAGGUCUUCGGAUCGUAAAACUCUGUUAUUAGGGAAGCGGUACCUAAUCAGAAAGCCACGGCUAACUACGUGCCAGCAGCCGCGGUAAUAC
rnacentral:rRNA from 1 species